GGAGCGAUUUCGGUUUAUAAUUCACUAAAAUUUUAAUUCGCGCCUUUUCUUCUUCUUAUUCACGUUUUCCUUUUAUUGUUUACUUUUUACAGUUUUAAAUUACGAGCAGCAGAUAUUUUGAGGCAAAAAGGAGUUAAGCAGACGCCGUUUGGCUUUCCGAAUCUUGCUUCUUUGGAAAAGAUUUGUACAGCAGUUCUCUUUAACAAUAUCUAUCAGAUGACAUACUUCAGGUUCUGGAAUUGAACAGUGAGUGCUAUUUAUAAAGCUUUAUAAGCUAUUUUCUGUUCCAGUUGUCGCUAUCUGUCGGCUGUUUGAAGUUGAAUUCUGGAGCCCAAAGUUCUUCUUAAUAAAGGAUAUUCUGCAAGCCAAUGAAAGCUACAUGUCCCUCAGAUGCUCUUUUGUGCUUAAGUUGGUGUUGUCUUUACUGUUUUAAGUUGCAAUUUGGAAUCCAAAAUCUUGCUUGUUUCAAGCACAUGGAAGUUACUUGGAGAUCCCUCUUUGCUUUAAAUAAGGUAAAGGGGUCAAUCUUAUAGCAGAAUGAUCAAGGGGGUAGUUCGACUUUGUUAUGCAAUUGCAACCAUUUCCAAAAAGUUGUAGUCUGCUGCACAGUUAUCAACGAAAAAGGAGUUUCACAUCAAGAUGUUAAAAAAGAAUAAACUGUUCUGUUGCUGUGGCUGGCUAAGUUGAAGAUGAAUAGGUAUAUUUGAAUCCUCUUCAAUUCCAAGAUCAUUUGUGCUAAGAUUUUUUGAUGCACGCAUUAUUUAGAGCAUAUCGAGGGAGAUCUAUCAAGAAAUUCCAACCUCGGAGUAAGCAUUUAUUAAUCGUUUGUAUUUAUGUACUUCAACGCAUUCAGUUUAAUGUUGAAAUAUUGAAGGAUAGCUAAUGUUAUUCGCUUUGUUUCUAACAUUGGGAAAUUCACUUUGCUGGAACUGAAAAAUAGUGUGAGAGCUAAACUAAUUGAACCUCAGUAUUUGAUGUUUUCAUCCUUUUUACCGCUCUUUCUCUCUCUCCGUAGGCUUUAUUUUCCCACGUUUCACAUCAAAGCACUUUAAUGUGAAGAAAAUGUAGGUUUUCUUUUUCCCACUUUUCACAUCGCAUCAUUUUACUAUACUGAAAAUGAAUCUUUGUGUCUCCUUUUUCAGUCAUUCUUUUUCUGAUUCUUAAUUUAUUUUCAUGCUUCAGUUGCAAAUGUUUUCUUUUCUUCUAAUGCACAUUGAUUAAUGUUAUGGCCUUGCUCUGCAAACUUUUACUGUCGAGACAACCUCUCUAUGGAUGUCAAGACUUUAUGUGAAUUAUCUUGGGUAAUUAAUUCUGAAGGUCACUGGAUUUUCAUUUUUUUCAUUUUAAUUACUAAACUUUUUUCUUUUUGGUCACCGAACUUCAACUUUUUUCAGUUUGGUUUUUCCGGCAAAAAAUGCUUAGAUGGCAGCUGGAAUUUGUUUGGUUUUACUUGAAAAUUUUCCAUGUAUGCAUGAUUUAGCUUAAAAAAUCCCUUUCAAAAUGAAAUUAUGUAUGUGUGAUAAGUUUUCAAGGUAUAACUAGCAAAAUUCGGCCAUCACAUGUCAAAAUCUGGCUGCCGCCUAAGUACUUGUGGAUGGAAAAAUUCAUUUGAAAAUAAUUGAAGUUCAAUAACCAAAAAGGAAAAAAAUUGCAGUUUAGAAAGUGAAAUAAAAAAAACUGAAAGUUUGAUGACCCUCAAGAUCAAUUACCAGAAUUAUCUUUGGCAUCUGUAGUUGCAAUUUAUCAGAAUUUGUUAAAGUUUGCAGAUUAUACAGGAAAUUUCCAAGAAUCUGCAAAUUCUAGUUUCAAAUUCUAGAAGACUUGCAUUCCUCAAAUCUACUUUUUAGUCUCGAAACCCACAGUUAAGCAAACCAGUUCAGCAUGCCUACAAUUUGCAAUUUAUCUUCAUUCAGUUUCAAACAAACAGCUACAUGAACCCAAGAGGAACAAUGCACCAUCUCCAGUGGUAUUACUAUAAGGGGAGAAAUUGGCCUGCAACAGUAAGCUGUGUAUUCUUCUUUUUACAUAAACUUUCAUAUGUUAUUUCCUAACCAAUGGGCUUAAAUAUAAGGUUUCUUAUCUUUUUGCUAACAUUUUUUAAUAGUAUUUCUUUCUUUCAUCAAAUUUGGUGUGCAAAAUUUAGAAUUACCCUACGUCUUAAGUCAUGGAACCUUUUUGAUAAUGUUGUUAUAUUGUUGCAUUUUGAAAGUGUUAAGUGAUCAUACUUCUGACGACUAUCCCUUGCUUACAACCCAAGAAUUUAGGACUUCACUAAAAUCUUGUCAAUCAUAUGGGAGGAGAGGCUAGAGUCAUAAGCUAAGACACAAUUAGGGCGAGGGAAUAUCAUAAAUUAGGUUUGAGUGAGAAUGAGAUUUGUGGAAAAUAGUUGGUGGAAGCAUAAUCACUCCACCCCUAAAGGAGAAUGCCAAAGUGUUAAGAAAGUGAAAAAUCAGAAUGGAAAAAGAUGUGUUCAUAAUCAAAAUGAUGAUAAAACAAAGUGAAAUAUUUUUGCUUUAAGAUUUUCAGGAAAAAACGAGAUUAUAAAUUUUGGAGACAAAGCUAAUAUUAGAAAAGCAAGGUAUUAUAUUAAUUAAUUUACAAAAACUAAUUUCUUGUGCCAAGAGAUAUCAGAAUUCGAUCUGCAUCUGAAUCUUUGAAGAUAGAAUGAAGAAGAGUAUAAUUUUUAAAAUUAGAUUGCAAUAUAGAGAGUUUAUUACAGUUGUCCAGAAUUAACUUAAAAGUCUUUAAAUACCAUUAUUAAAUAAAUUAUAUAAUUUGUUAGAAUUAAGAGAAAUUAGCUAAGCAAAUGACUGAGAUUUCAAAAUAGAAUGAAUGAACUAGAAAACACUAUUUAGCUGGAAUAGAAAAGGACAUUGAAAAGCUGUGAUACCAAAUAUAGAAAAUAUCAGAGAAUUAAAGUACUCCUUUUAUUAUCCUUAACAAGACUUUAGGUACAAAAGACACUCACUACUAACACACAAUAUCUUCACAAUUUUGCAUUCACGCACUCUUUACAAUGCACAGAUAUUCAUUUUCUCAGCUCUAUUAUGCACAUAAACGUCUGUAUGCCAUAUUUAUAGGAAGUAUAAGUCAAUGAGACUAGGUCGACAAAAGAGUGCAUGAGUUAGUUGAAAAUGAUUUAUAAGAAAAGCUGAAUUUUUUCCUCCCCUAAAAAUUCGCUUCCAAGACAAAACUUUAGAAAUAAUGAUAGGAAAUUAAAAAAAUUGAAAACUGAUCUGAAAAAAUUGAGCCAAAAAAGAAAAGCCUUAUCUAAAGAGGUUUUCUUUAGAUAGUUUCAUUUUGUACUUCUAAAGUUGACGUGCAAAUGCAUCACUUCUUGCCUAUUUAAUGAGUUCCCCUUUCUAAAUUGGACGUGGAAGUUUCCUCUCAACCGGCUCGCCAUUUGUAUUUUGGACGACGUUUUGGAACUUCUUUUAAAGAUGUGUAAUUCAAGAUUUAUUAUUAAUUAUUGGAAUUUUAAGAAUCGACUCAUCUCAAAUUGCAUUGGUAUUUUCUAUUGCACUUAAUGCUAAAGUCAUCUUCAAUAUGGUGUUACAGACUAAGAAAUCUUAUUUGAUGAAGAAUUUGGUGUUGUAUUAAAGUAAAAAGGGACAGUAAGGAGAUUUUAUCAUUUACAAUCCUUGCUGGAAUACGACAUAGUUUAAUUAUUAAUAGCAUACUUGAUGUUUAAUUAUUUCAAGAAUAAAUGAUUGAAUUAAAAAAAUUGAAUUUUGUCUAUCUAUUUAGGAUGAUGGAAUACAACAUAGUUUCUCUUUCGAGGCACUAGUUAACAGAAAAAACACCGUCUUCCCCUUCCCCCAAAAACACCAAACAAUAAUGAAUGUAAUAAUAAGAAAUUUUGAUAUUGUUGGAUGACAUAAAUCUUUCAGACAAUUUGCAUAUCGUAACUCGAUAUUGCAUUAUGGUCCAUCUUCAAUUAUGACUAAGUUUUCUUCUCAAUUGUCAUGAGUUGCAUAUUUAGAGAUGUUGUGUUCGAUCGAUUCGGUCGACCAGAUGCAAAUACUAUGCAGGUGGAGUAAAUUAAGCCAAACCAUCAAUGCAAUUUUUUCAAAAACUGACAGAAGAAAGAAAUCAAAAUUUAUGACGAACAGAGUUAUAUACAAGGAAAGGGAAUGUCAAAAGCUCCAUGCAUAAUACUCCAUCUUAGACUUAGAACAUAUGAAUUGGUUUACCUGCUGUUAUAUUUAUCUACCAAAGAUAAUAAAUUUAUUCUAUCCUUGCAGGCAAAUUAAAUGGCAAAGUUCUAACGAGUAUAAUUAAGUAAAGCAAUUCGAAAGAUUAUUAUGGUUUAUUCUACAUGCAUGCAUCUAGGGGAUAAACUAACGGUAGGGUGCCGGUCUGUAGUCGUUGAUUGUCUUCGUCCAACUUCUUUUGAUUAUUCUUUUAAAUUGUCUCCUCCACUUUUUUGAUCGCCAACUACUUUAUUUAUUUAUUAUCUCUUCUAGUCAUUUUAUAAUUCAGUUGAUUAUUUGUGUGCUCUAUACUUUUUAAAUGGAAUAUGUAUUAAUUAUCUUAUAGAUAUAUUUUCAUGUGCCACGAAAUAUAGUGUAGUUUGCUAUUACAACUGUUGUUAUCAGCUUAUAAAAGAAAUUAUACGUGUAGUUUAAAAUAUCUCAAGUCAAGUUAAUCAGCCUAGUUUACCAAUAAAGUUCACUUCCUAUAGGCUAAGCAAUUUGUAAAUUGUCAUAAGUGCACGUCUAAAUCUUCUAAUCAAUAAUGGCAAAUCAACUCACUCUAAUUUAACUUUGCGAGGAUUGUGGAGGUCUUGAGUUUGAAUCUCUAACCGCCACAUUCAUCUGUACCGAUGAAAAUAAUUAAUAUAUAUAUGGUAAAUGUAAGGAAAUAAGUUUUUGUCUGUUGUGUAGCUCAUGUGGUCCAUUAAGCAUCUAAUGAAUCAAAAAUAAACUUCGUUAAGGAUCAGCUUGUUAAAGAUAAUAAAAUAAAUUUUCAUCAAAACUUUUGGAUCCUUUUGGAGUUUUCACCUAAUCUAAAGAGAUUGUACUCUUUUGCUGCUACUAUGGUGAUAAUUUGAUUGUUUUAGGUUUUAUGACUUUUUCCAAUGUUAUGUAUAAGUAUAUUAGAAAGCUAAUAUAAUAGGAAGUAAUUAGUAGCUAAAUUAUAACUGUUUGAUUGUUUAGAAAUUUACUGUAAAUGUUGUUCUUUGUAAAAAGAUUUUUAUUCCCAAAAUGGUAUUUCUUUAUUUGUAAUUAGUGAAUACAGGACACAAGAAAUUAAUUUCUGGUGUUUUAAAAACAUGGUAAGCUGAUGCCAAUAGAUUUUUUCAUUUAUGUCCAAAGAAGCAAUUCUCCCAAAAGAGGUAAGUGACCAAAAAUGUUUUUGUCAUCACGUUUAGAUGAUCUUCUAUUUUCACAGUCCAUCGCAGGAGGAGCGUCGUGCACCUAUCAGCCGCCUGCCAAAAUUCGGUCGCCAUGGACCCCGUGAGUGGAGCUCACACGCCAACACAAGUUUGUGAGUCAGUCCUACUCGUCUGCACGUGGGAGUGUGUGCGUAGCCGACUGUAUGUUCUAUUUUGAUCGUCCAUCUCACCUUGUCAUAUAAAACAUGUUUCUAGAGUCUACUGGGAGUUUAUGUACUCGGGUAAGUUUCACAUGGACAUAUUUGAGCUUUCUAGUUUAUAGUUUCACAACCUAUUGCUUUUGAUUUGUGGAUUUUAUGGGUAUGAAAGCUAGAAAAAGGCUGUUUGAAUUGAAAUAUAAUCAUGGAACAUAAACCAAAUGCUAUAAAAUUGUUGAUUGGAGUUAAA